CGCCAGGGAAUUACGAGCAAUGCUUAAAACCCAAAGGAUUUGACGGUGUCCCACCCCCCUAGAGGAGCCUGUUCUGUAAUCGAUGAUCCCCGCUACACCUCACCACUCCUCGCUUAGUCUGUAUACCUCCGUCGAAAGCCUACCAUGUGAACGUUUGCAGUAGGCCCAAUGAUUCCCGUCAGUACGUCAGGUCAAGGUGCAACUUAAGGAGUGGGAAGUUAUGGGCUACAAUUUCUAAUUUAGAACAAACGAAAGACUAUGUGAAACCCUGGUCACGAAGGAGGAUUUAUUAGUAAAAAGAAAUUAGAGUAUUCUUUUUAACCCGGCUCUGGGACGCGUACACACCGCCCGUCACCCUCUUCAACAGUAUUUAACCCCACGUUUCUAACUCACCCCAUCCGCCCCUAGAAGAGGCAAGUCGUAACAUGGUAAGUGUACUGGAAAGUGCACUUGGAUA
rnacentral:rRNA from 1 species